CCAGUUGUAAGGACAUGUUUGUAGGUUUUGGCUCCGGCAAACCAAGUUUCUUGAAGACAGACAACGGCAUCAGAUUGAUACUAGCUCCCAAGUCACACAAACAUUUGUCGAAAGAUAAUUGCCCAAUAGUACAAGGUAUCGUGAAACUUCCCGGAUCUUUCAGCUUCGGGGGCAAUUUCUGCUGUAACACCGCACUGCACUCCUCGGUCAAAG
rnacentral:lncRNA from 1 species